CUGAAGAGUUUGAUCCUGGCUCAGAUUGAACGCUGGCGGCAUGCUUUACACAUGCAAGUCGAACGGCAGCACGGGCUUCGGUCUGGUGGCGAGUGGCGAACGGGUGAGUAAUAUAUCGGAACGUACCCAGAAGUGGGGGAUAACGUAGCGAAAGUUACGCUAAUACCGCAUACGAUCUACGGAUGAAAGUGGGGGACCUUCGGGCCUCAUGCUUUUGGAGCGGCCGAUAUCUGAUUAGCUAGUUGGUAGGGUAAAGGCCUACCAAGGCGACGAUCUGUAGCGGGUCUGAGAGGAUGAUCCGCCACACUGGGACUGAGACACGGCCCAGACUCCUACGGGAGGCAGCAGUGGGGAAU
rnacentral:rRNA from 1 species